rnacentral:rRNA from 1 species
UACGUAGGUGGCAAGCGUUGCCCGGAAUUAUUGGGCGUAAAGCGCGCGCAGGCGGUCCCUUAAGUCUGAUGUGAAAGCCCACGGCUCAACCGUGGAGGGUCAUUGGAAACUGGGGGACUUGAGUGCAGAAGAGGAAAGUGGAAUUCCAUGUGUAGCGGUGAAAUGCGUAGAGAUGUGGAGGAACACCAGUGGCGAAGGCGACUUUCUGGUCUGUAACUGACGCUGAGGCGCGAAAGCGUGGGGAGCAAACAGG